UGAUGCUAAUACCGGAUGACGACGUAAGUCCAAAGAUUUAUCGCCGAGGGAUGAGCCCGCGUAGGAUUAGCUAGUUGGUGUGGUAAGAGCGCACCAAGGCGACGAUCCUUAGCUGGUCUGAGAGGAUGAUCAGCCACACUGGGACUGAGACACGGCCCAGACUCCUACGGGAGGCAGCAGUGGGGAAUAUUGGACAAUGGGCGAAAGCCUGAUCCAGCAAUGCCGCGUGAGUGAUGAAGGCCUUAGGGUUGUAAAGCUCUUUUACCCGGGAUGAUAAUGACAGUACCGGGAGAAUAAGCUCCGGCUAACUCCGUGCCAGCAGCCGCGGUAAUACGGAGGGAGCUAGCGUUAUUCGGAAUUACUGGGCGUAAAGCGCACGUAGGCGGCUUUGUAAGUUAGAGGUGAAAGCCUGGAGCUCAACUCCAGAAUUGCCUUUAAGACUGCAUCGCUCGAAUCCAGGAGAGGUGAGUGGAAUUCCGAGUGUAGAGGUGAAAUUCGUA
rnacentral:rRNA from 1 species